rnacentral:lncRNA from 1 species
CCUAGGGACGCUCAGGCAAGCCAGUGGCAGAGGCAACGACAGCAAGCACUGCAAACUGGUCCCAGCCGACAGGUGAAAUGGUGAAAUGAAGCGGGGGCUCUGUGAAGGACAGGCUCCGGCCACCCCCAGGACACCCGACUCCAGGGAAAUGACAAAACUGCCUGAACACCUCAUCUUUGAGGAGAGAACGUUUCUUGAAACCUUAAACCAAAUUUCCCAGUGGUUUGAUGCCAAGAUGUAGAAGUCAUCUGAUUUCACCACCCACUGCAAUGGCCAGGUCUUGGCUAAACACCAACUACAGAAAAUGCAGAGGCCACCUCUUCCCCGGCCCCGCCCCCACGGGGUUUCGCUGAUGUGAAACUUAAAGUCAUUCUGAUCAGCAAGCUUCUGAAGGGCUCCAUACUGAUGCUAUCACCUAAAAGUUACCCUGAACCAAAGUCGAAUUUUUGCUGAAAAUCAUCCACCGUAACCCAGUAUGAAGCAAGUUCCUUCCCAUAAGUAGAGACAGCACGCACGACCGGAACACAGAUCUGUGCACGAAAGCCAAGAGGUCCCACCUCACCAAAGUAGCACAGAUAAAAUCUAAGAUAAUACAAACUCUUCUAAAAGAUGCACGUCUAAGAUAGUUGUUUUUUUUUUCUUUUAAAGGGUCAAGUGUAAGGCUUGAGUCUCUGAUAAGAAAACCAUUUGCACACAAGAAAUCUUUUUUUUUUUUUCCUGUAACAUCAGCAAUAACAACAGGCCUCUUAGGUCAGCAUGUUCUUGGCAAAUGUUGACUUUAGAAAGACCACUGCCUGAACAAACUGCUUCAAAGCCUCCUCCACCACUUACAUAACUCACUUCAGUACUUUUCCAGAACACGGGCCCUUUGAAAAGUGUGAAGGGGGUUCCGAGUGGUUCCUCUUCCCUGGCCUGAGAGUCCCUGACUCAGGAUUGCUUCACAGCCCUCUCGGGCAGGAUGUGCGAAGCGCUGCACGCACAGGAUCCCGGCCAGGCCCUGCGAGCCCAGCCGAGCCACCCAGCAGCCAGGACCGCGCAAGGAAAGGCCCGCGUCGGAACG